rnacentral:lncRNA from 1 species
GGGGUGUGCAUAAAAACAUGAAUUUCAGAUUUUUGGUUCCAAGGAUUUGGGAAGAGAGAAUGAAUUAGAAGAGAAUUAUUUUUUUAUCUUUAUUUCACUUUUUUGUCUCCUCUAAAAGUUCAUAUUUAAUCUCUAAAAAAAUUUCAGAGAUUUAAAGAAAGGAUCCAGAUCGGCCAAGAAGAAGGUCUUCAUGUGAGCUAGCAGUCCUGAGAAGAUCGAUCAGAUCGGAGCUUCGAGUGAAUUUUUUAUAGAGACCGGAUGCAUGUGUGGC